UGGUAUACAUGGAGUGUGCUGGCCCAUGCAAAAACACCUGCUCGGCCCCAAAUGGAGCCAUGCUGUGUACAGAUCACUGUGUAGAUGGCUGUUUCUGCCCUGAGGGCACUGUGGAAGACAAAAUUGGUAACAGUGGUUGCGUUCCUUUAAACAAAUGCCCAUGUAUGCACGGCAGCACAAUAUACCAGACUGGAGAGUCAUACAAGCAAGCAUGUAAACAAUGAUAAGUCACACACAUGCAUCAGUCAACUGCUGUACCGUAACUGCUGGAGUUGCAUGGAUCAGGAAUGUCCUGGAAUCUGCUCUGUUGUGGGAGGCUCUCACAUCACCACCUAUGAUGGAAAAACCUUCAGCUUUAAUGGCAACUGUGACUACAUCCUCACUAAGGAGCUGCAGGCCUUUAUGGAGAGCAAGGGCCACACCUGCAAGCAAUGUAACUGUGGAAUGGAUAAAGAUCCGUUUCAUACGGUUACUUGUGUUGAUCUAACCUGCACACCUUGUGCUGAGGGCUUCAAAGAGGUGAAGGUAAACAAAAAGCCUGCAUAUACAAUGCAGCAAACAACACCCAACUAAUUAUACAGGUUGGAGAAGUGCUCACCCAGAAAUGUGAGAGCAUUUCCUGCCAGCAAAUUAAUGACACGUUUGUGCCGGUGAAGGCAGUAAAAACCUGCCCUGAAUACAAUUCAAAUGAUUGUGUCCCUGGAACCGAGACAUCAGAUGCGGAUGGAUGCUGCAAGACCUGUGAGCACAGUAACUGUGUUCGAUUGAGGAAUACCACCCAAAUCCAUGUGAAAGGCUGCACCUCCAUUGGGCCUAUAGAAGUGACUUUCUGCAGUGGCCACUGUGACAGCCAGUCAAUGUGAGAGCAUACACGCACGCACCUGUUCGAUAACAAACAACAAGACUUAUGAGUUCUCCAAUAAACCUCUUAGUCUUGCCUCAUUUCACAUAAUAUAUAGUCCCUAACACAAUGAUGCACAGCUGCUCAUGUUGCCGAGAGAGUAGAACCAGCACUAAACAAGUGAAGCUGAAGUGUCCCGAUAACAGCGAGAUCAUGUACAACUACGGCUACACUGAGAGCUGUGAAUGCACACCAACAAAGUGCAUAGACUUGAAUACUUGUCGCAUAAAAUGUCUUUCAGCUUUUGCCUUGAUUACUGUUGAUUUAAACAUUAUCUGUUGAAUAAGAAAGCAAUUAUAAAUGAAUGUAAGCGAUUGUGCAUAAUUAACAAACGUUACUUUGGUAAAAAUUCCACUACACAGCUUUUUGUUUGUAGUUUGACUUUAAUAGGGUUCUAAGGGAAUUUUGGGAACUGUAUUUCAUUUCCUGCUUUAUCCUGUCUAUAGUAAUGAAUGAUGAAUCCAAUAAAGCAAAAUAAACUGCAACAGCUAAAAUCUUUCUGAGUGGCUCUUCGAUUAAGCAAACAUUUUUUACAUGAAAAUUCAAUUACUCUAGUAUUUGUGUGUAUAAUUAAUAAAAAUAUGUGAUGUGUUAGCAUGACACUUAUGGUGUUUUCACAUAUGUUGGUGCGCACCGUGGUGCGGCCUCGGAGCGCACCAAAAUACAUUGUAUCAUUUUUCAGUUAGUGCGGUCCGUGUUCACAUAUUAUUUUUUUACUGUACUCGAAAUGCCGCACCGAACACCACGUGACAACGGUCAGCCCUGCCAUUGGUCUCUGACAGCUCUUACCGUCUCAUGACCACCCCCACGUUUCCACGACAACCAGCCUGACAGGGAGAGCGCAGCUAUCAAGAUGUGGAGAUAAACGAUGCACGUCUUUGCGAAGUUAUUUGCUUUAAUGGGAAAUUGUGUAGCUGUUCUAUUAAAGCCGUUCUCACGGAGCCGUUUGCUAAAAAGCCUGUAAUGUCACUAUUUGUGUGUGGAGGACAGCUAUGCAUUUAUAAAAUCAUCAGCUCAAACGUAAAGGAGACAGCGAAUCUCUGCAACGGACCAGGACUGGCUUGUUUGUUGUUAACCCACAAUAUA